UACGUAGGGGGCAAGCGUUGUCCGGAAUUAUUGGGCGUAAAGAGCUCGUAGGCGGCUUGUCACGUCGGGUGUGAAAGCCCGGGGCUUAACCCCGGGUCUGCAUUCGAUACGGGCUAGCUAGAGUGUGGUAGGGGAGAUCGGAAUUCCUGGUGUAGCGGUGAAAUGCGCAGAUAUCAGGAGGAACACCGGUGGCGAAGGCGGGUCUCUGGGCAAUAACUGACGCUGAGGAGCGAAAGCGUGGGGAGCGAACAGG
rnacentral:rRNA from 1 species